rnacentral:sRNA from 1 species
CCCAGAGGUAUUGAUAGGUGGUGUCGGCGCCUGAUGCUGACCACAAGAGUUACACCAACCUGCGCGGAUGCGCAGGUUUUUUUU